UACGUAGGGUGCGAGCGUUAAUCGGAAUUACUGGGCGUAAAGCGCGCGUAGGCGGCUUUUCAAGUCAGGGGUGAAAUCCCACGGCUCAACCGUGGAAUUGCCUUUGAAACUGUGAAGCUAGAGUGUCGGAGGGGAUAGCGGAAUUGCUAAUGUAGAGGUGAAAUUCGUAGAUAUUAGCAGGAACACCGGUGGCGAAGGCGGCUAUCUGGACGACAACUGACGCUGAGGCGCGAAAGCGUGGGGAGCAAACAGG
rnacentral:rRNA from 1 species